rnacentral:lncRNA from 1 species
ACCCGGCACAUUAUACGCGUUUGGGGUUUUCUUCACCUUCCCCGUCCGCGGUGGUGGCCCUGCGCGUCCUGGAGCUGCGGCUACCGGAACAGGGUCGGUGCCCCCCGGGAGGCGCGGGCCAGGGACUCCUCCAAGGGGGUCGCACCCGGAUCCGCAAACCGCCUCGGGCUGCCGACUCCGGCAGCCCGCGACCCUGCGAGUCGGGGUGCCGGGCAGCGUGUGGGUGCUACGCCCUCGGGGCGCCCAGGGUCACCCGCGGCCUGGCCCGCCCCGACCCCCCCGGUCACCGACAAGCCGGGGCGCGCACGGAGCUCCCGCGUCACCUGCAGGCCAGCUCCCUCCGAACCCGUCAGCCGAGCGGCACGCGGGGCCCCGGCCCAGCUCGCCCGCGGGAGCCCCGCUCCUCCCACGGACUCCCCGCUCCAGGCCGGGGACCCAGCCUCCGCGGAACCCCGCGACCGGGCGAGGUCGCUCCACCGCCAGCCUCCACCCUGCGGCCCGCGGAGCAGAGGGGGCGGGCACCGGGCGGGGGCGGGGCGACGGGCGGGCGGGGGCGGGGCCGGGGCCGGGGGCGGGACGGAGGGCGGGACGGAGGGGCGGGACGGGGGCGGGGCGACGGGCGGGCGGGGGCGGGGCUGGGGGGCGGGGCCGAGGGCGGGACGGAGGGGCGGGACGGGGCGGGGCGACGGGCGGGCGGGGGCGGGGCUGGGGGGGCGGGGCCGAGGGCGGGACGGAGGGCUGGGCGGGGGCGGGGCGACGUCGCGGGGGCGGGGCCAAGCCCCCCGGAACGCGUGCGUAAACCCGGGUUCCCAGACCCUUCAAGUGUUUCGGCAGAAGUGUCAGGGCCCCGUGGCUGUAUUUUUGGCAAGAACUGAGGAUACGGGCGGCGCUCGCAGACGUCAGAGGGUGGACACCGGCACGGACAAGGACUGUCGUCGGGGCCGCGGGACACCUGCUGCGCGCCGGGCCGCCGCCCCGCCACGCCCCCGCCACGCCCCGUCCCGCCCCCAGCCACGCCCCCAGACCCAGCCCCGCCCGGCCAGCCCCGCCCCCGCCCCGCCCCCGCCCCGCCCCCAGCCCCGCGGCCCUCCCGUCGAGGGCACAGCCCCCCGCCCCGGACGCGGCCACCCAGGCCUGCGGUGCGCACCCCGGCCCCGUCACAGCCGCGUCGGAAUGUCACGGACGAGGGCGAGCAGCGCGUCCAAAAAGCCUUCGUGGAGGACGGCCGCGGCGGGCUAA